rnacentral:rRNA from 1 species
CUUAACACAUGCAAGUCGAACGAAGCUGCUUAACAGAUUUCCUUCGGGAUUGAUGUUUUGUAGACUGAGUGGCGGACGGGUGAGUAACGCGUGGGUAACCUGCCCUGUACAGGGGGAUAACAAUCAGAAAUGACUGCUAAUACCGCAUAAGACCACAGCACCGCAUGGUGCAGGGGUAAAAACUCCGGUGGUACAGGAUGGACCCGCGUCUGAUUAGCUGGUUGGUGAGGUAACGGCUCACCAAGGCGACGAUCAGUAGCCGGCUUGAGAGAGUGAACGGCCACAUUGGGACUGAGACACGGCCCAAACUCCUACGGGAGGCAGCAGUGGGGAAUAUUGCACAAUGGGGGGAACCCUGAUGCAGCGACGCCGCGUGAGUGAAGAAGUAUCUCGGUAUGUAAAGCUCUAUCAGCAGGGAAGAAAAUGACGGUACCUGACUAAGAAGCCCCGGCUAACUACGUGCCAGCAGCCGCGGUAAUACGUAGGGGGCAAGCGUUAUCCGGAAUUACUGGGUGUAAAGGGUGCGUAGGUGGUAUGGCAAGUCAGAAGUGAAAACCCAGGGCUUAACUCUGGGACUGCUUUUGAAACUGUCAGACUGGAGUGCAGGAGAGGUAAGCGGGAUUCCUAGUGUAGCGGUGAAAUGCGUAGAUAUUAGGAGGAACAUCAGUGGCGAAGGCGGCUUACUGGAC